ensembl:lncRNA
GAGUACAGGUGGAAUUCUACUUGAGCACUGUCCUUUUCCUUCUAUGAAACUCCCCUUGCAGAGUUCUGUGCCAGCGUGGCCUCACUCAGCCACCCCCAUCUCUAGGUCCUGCGGGGAAUGCGCUGGGCAAUGGGGCUGCGAGAGGUCCCUCUGCCUCCCUAUCCGUAGGGACCGCAAGGAAAGGUGUUAUGUGGGAUACCCAGAAAGGGCGAGAGGCUUCCUCCCCCCCCCCGGUCCAACAUGCUCACCAAGGCAUUCAUCACACACACACCCCUGCAAGGGCGGCCUCCAGUUGCUCUCCUUCUGGGAUACUGGGGGCCAUUUAUUUAGAGGGGUAAUCCUAUGUGUGUGCGCGUGUGGAUCUGCGUCCCAGCAUGCAAAGCCCUGCAGAAGUCUUCUGUAAAGGCUACGGCUCCUCAGUGUACGGUUGCGCUUCCGUGGGAAUGUGAGCGUGGAGGGAGAGAAGUCUUGGUUCCCCCUCCAUCAUCCCUUUGGAAUGGAUGAGCAUCAUCUUCAUAGAAUACCCUCUCUGAGCAUGGCACCGUGGAAAGGCAUCAUCCACCUCAUCGUCUGCCGAGACGCUUCCCUUCUCCAUUUUCUCUCUCUUUCUCACUCCUUCCCUCCAAGAGAUGUCGCGGCUGGCAGGCAAUCUUCCCCCUUUUCGCCCUCCAUGGCCCUCCCCUGGUGGAAGAGCUCUGUCCCAGCGUGGCCUGGACUCAGCCCCCCCACUCCCCUCUAUGGGUCAAGAGGCCCCCAAACACACACACACACACACACACACAGAAACGAUAUUCCCCCCCCCCGCGCCCCCACCACCCCAGGAGACGAGACGNNNNNNNNNNNNNNNNNNNNNNNNNNNNNNNNNNNNNNNNNNNNNNNNCCCCCCCCUGAAAAAGCCCUAGAGAUCUGGGGAGGGGGAAUCCAACCAGGAGCCCGAGGAUCCCUCCCCGCCUCCCCCCAGGCAGAAGCAGGCUCGGGUUCCCCCUUGGGAAGGGGGGGCUGCUCCCUCCCUGAGAGGAGGGCCCUACAAUUCACCCACCCUAAAUCUCAGGGUCCCCCAAAGCCCACCCUGGUCUUUCCCCUCUUCUUCCUCCUUCUCUCAGCCCCCCUCCCUCCAUGGUGCUUUCCAAACAGGAACCGGAAGAGGGAAUCUCUGCUGCUGGCCCCUCUUCCCGCCGCGCCACCUCUAUGGUCUCAGGCGGAUGCUCUUCCCAAAGAAGGAGGACUCCUCGCGAGGGCCUGAGAGGGGAGCUGACCAUUCAGUGGCUUUUCUCUGGCGCAAAAGGGAAGAAUCCAACUCCAGAGUCCUCCAGCAUUUGCAAAGCAGGUGAGAGCUAAUCCUUCCUCCCUGUCUUCAUCCUUCCUGCCUUUUUCCCUCCCUCCCUCCCUCCCUCUUUUUCUUUCUUUCUUUCUUUCUUUCUUUCUUUCUUUCUUUCUUUCUUUCUUUCUUUCUUUCUUUCUUUCUUUCUUUCUUUCUUUCUUUCUUUCUUUCUUUCUUUCUGCCAGGAGCACCACUGUACAAUUAACAACAUGCAAUAUUUGUAAAAAUUGGACCAGAAUGUUAGAUAAUUUAUGUUCACUAGUAAGCAACAUCAAGAGUAAGUUCGAAGAGAAACCCUCAAUACACAUUUAUGGGUGGACUUCUGUACGUACGUACAAGGCCAUCUGGCAGGCAGUGGAAGACAGGAGGGCUUGGCAUGCUCUGGCCAUGGCAUCACAAACAGUUGGACAUGACUUCACAACUAAGAAACAACAACAAGGCCAUCAAGUCCAAUCCCCUGCUCAAGGCAGAAAUAACAUCAAAGCAUAUAUUCAAGUUUUACUUGAAUGCUUGCACUGUUGUAGCGCUCACCAACUUAAUACACGUGUCUUUUUGUAGAAGAGGAGUGUGUGUGUUUCUUCAAUCAGAGAACUCUGCACAUUACAGCGAGAAGCUGACAGAAAGGAAGAUUAUGAACUUCCAAUGAGAUUUAUUUUUACUACAGUCUUAAUGAGGUCCUUUCCAGAGACUUUUUCAAGUUACUAAAGUCAAGAGCAAAUUCCAAACUCAUAUACCAUCGUGACUAAUAGUAACACAGGCACUCGACAGCCAGUAUGAAUGGUUUCUGUUGAAGAACCAAAUUGCCACAAGCAUCCACCCGAAGAAUUGUUACCAGUCACUCACCUAAAGAGGAGUUUGUUCCUCCAUUGUUUAAAGCAAAAGUCACAGAUGGAGAAGAAGAGGACCUGACUGACUACAAACCUAAGAUUUAAAUGCUGACUAAAAACCUAAGAUUUAAAUGUUCAAUCAUUUUUAAUGUAGGUGGACAUCAACUUACAUGACUCUUGAGAGUCCCCUGGACUGCAAGGAGAACAAACCUAUCAAUUCUAAAGGAAAUCAACCCUGAGUGGUCACUGGAAGGACAGAUCCUGAAGUUGAGGCUCCAAUACUUUGACCAUUUCAUGAGAAGAGAGGACUCCCUGGAAAAGACCCUGAUGUUAGGAAAGUGUGAAGGAGAGGAGCGACCAACAUGAAUUUGGCCCAGCUCCGGGAGGCAGUGGAAGACAGGACGGCCUUGCAUGCUCUGGUCUAUGGGGUCACGAAGAGUCGGACAUGACAAAACGACUAAACAACAACGUGCUAUUCCAUGACCAUGAUCUCAAAUAAACCGUCUGCUUUACUGGAGAGCUCUGAGGUU